rnacentral:rRNA from 1 species
GACGUAGGGGGGCCAGCGUUGUUCGGAAUUACUGGGUGUAAAGGGUUCGUAGGCGGUGUGGCAAGUCGGGAGUGAAAUCUCUGGGCUUAACCCAGAGACUGCUUCCGAAACUGCUGUGCUUGAGUGUGAGAGAGGCUCGUGGAAUUGCAGGUGUAGCGGUGAAAUGCGUAGAUAUCUGCAGGAACACCCGUGGCGAAAGCGGCGAGCUGGAUCACUACUGACGCUGAGGAACGAAAGCUAGGGGAGCGAAACAGG